GGAUCUUGGACAAAUGAUCCCUUGGACAAAUCCAUGAAGGAAACUGAAGGCACGUGGAGCUACAUCUUCAAUGACAGUCCUGAAAAAAAAAUCAAAGCAAGAUGCUCUGUCUCCAAAGACAUCUAUUCCAAAGAGUACAGCUCUACCCCCAAAUGGGGACAGGAUGCAGAGUUUGCAGGGGUGUCUACUGUUAUCUGUGUGUGAAGCAUAUCGAAGCGGUCCCCCAAAGCUACACUCGUUUAAAAGAAAAAAAAAAAAAAAACAGCAUUGUCAAGUGGUCAGACAGACUGGAACUAGAGGAUUAUAGGAAGAAGUCUAAAUUUCAGAGCAAAGAAACUGACAUGUUUUGCCAAUAGCCAAACUUUGAAACACUCAAAAAUAUGAAGACUUGAUGUUUAAAUAUACAAUAAUAUUGAAAUUUGAAAUACUAUUCUAUGCAGAGCUGACUGACAUACUUUUUGACUUAAUUUAUGACAGACACUCAAGGCUAAGAAACUAUUUGAAAGGAGAUCAGGAAAUCUAUCCUGACCACACUCUGCUCUCCAUGGUCUGUGUUAACAUUGGCGAUUAAGACAAAGAUGCUUUAGGUUAAUCCAGGGUUCCUAAUUGAGGAGAAUUUGAGAUUAAUUAUAACUUCUAAAUCGACAUCAAUCAUCCUGAGAAGCACCUGUCUGGAAGGGCUCUCCCUGCUGUCAGUCGGCACCACCUACCAGGUAAGAAAACAACACAGCAGAGGUCUGAUCU
rnacentral:lncRNA from 1 species